GUAAGACAAUUUGAAGGAUCUAGGUUAUGUUUGGGCUUGUCUUCUAUGUAUACUCAUGGCUGCUAAUAGUGUUGAAUCUUUGUGGUUAAUUUCUGAAUUUUAGAGAUUCCAUUUUUCCUGUUGUGUGAUAUCAAUGUUUAGAGUUGAAUGCAUAACAAAAUAUUCACUUUGUGUACAAAAGUUGUUGGUACUUCUUGUUUCCCAUUUCUUUGCUUAAAUAAUUCUUAGAAUUAGCUGCUCAUGCUCAUUACCAAUUUGCAAAUGUGAUCUAGGUCUCAUACCAUUCACAAUUUUUUUCCAGCAUCCUUCUUUUUGCUUAUCUGUAUAUCACAGAUGCAUCAGAUCUUAUAUUUUUAAGUUAUCAUAAUAUAAAAACAUAUGUAAGUUUGUUUUGGUGAUAGAAGAUGAAUGUACAAUUUGAAUUAUUAAAAUAAAUCUUGAAAGUAAGUGCAAGAAUACUCCUAAGUUGAGUUGUAACAAAAACUGUUCUUAGGUAAUUAAAUUGCUUCAGACCUCAUUAGAGACUUGUAUUGCAGACAAACUUGUUAAAUUGUUUACUCGUCCAUAAACUUUGUGAUCAAGGACCCUAGCUUUGAAUUCUCAAGAAGGAAAAUAUAUAUAUAUAUAUGUAAUGUAAGAGACUAUUGACAUGCUUUAGGAGGACCACCAUCUCCUGAACAUGAUAAUUUAUCAUUUGAACGAUGGGAUCAAAACACCAAACAGUAGCUAAAUGAUUGAUAAAAGUGGUAAUAUCCAUAUCUCUUUUCCUGCCAAUUUUUCGCUGAUCAUUGUAAUGACUUCCAUUGAGGAACCCUUAGCAUCACAAGUUUUCAGAACUCUUCCAAGCUGUAGUUUCCUAGAGAGUUCAUCCUCACUUAAAGACAUGCCAGGCCUUAAUGGUGCAAAAUGGCUCAACAGUAUGGCUGAAGGAGCAUUAAAUAGAAACUAAAAAAAAAAAAGUUCUUUGUUUCGAUUUCUGAUUAGGAAUUAUCCACUGUCUGGCUUAAGGUUGAUCCACUGUCAGUUUCUUAGGCAAACUGCAGAGGACAUAGAGAUAGUUACCUCUGGAAAAGAGUCACAUAUGGGGUCGGCGAGGAUUGCUUCUAGUAAGAAUAUGCCUGCUUUACUUGCAUGUAGUUUUUAGCAUCCUCAUAUGGCAUAGGGCUAUUCUGUCAUUCAGCACACACAAAAAAGGAUAUUUUCAUUCUCUUUGCAAAAAGGAAUACUACCGUGAUCAUUUGGCUUCACUAAUUAUUAUGUAACAAAAUAAUUUUUGUCCACACCACCACAUUUCGCAGAAACGCUAUUAUAUUUCCACCCCAUCUCUACCAACUGCCAUCCUGCAGGAGAAUUAUAAUUUUCUUAGAUGGCUUUUUACUAAUGGCAAAUCAUAUGAAGGGACUG
rnacentral:misc_RNA from 1 species